GACGAACGCUGGCGGCGUGCUUAACACAUGCAAGUCGAACGGAAAGGCCCUGCUUUUGUGGGGUGCUCGAGUGGCGAACGGGUGAGUAACACGUGAGUAACCUGAUCUUGACUUUGGGAUAACUUAAGGAAACUGGGGCUAAUACAGGAUAGGAGCUCCUGCUGCAUGGUGGGGGUUGGAAAGUUUCGGCGGUUGGGGAUGGAUUCGCGGCUUAUCGGCUUGUUGGUGGGGUGGUGGCUAACCAAGGCAUUGACGGGUAGCCCGCCUGAGAGGGUGAGCGGCCACAUUGGGUCUGAGGUGCGGCCCAGGCGCCGACGGGAGGCAACAGGGGGGAAUCUUGCACAAUGGACGGAGGCCGGGUGAAGCAGCCCCGCGUGCGGUAUGACGGCCUUCUGGUUAAAAACCACUUUCGCCUGAAACGAAGCGUGUGUGACGGUAACGGGUAAAGAAGCACCGGCUAACUACGUG
rnacentral:rRNA from 1 species